rnacentral:rRNA from 1 species
UACGGGGGGGGCAAGCGUUGUUCGGAAUUACUGGGCGUAAAGGGUUCGUAGGUGGCCUACUAAGUCAGACGUGAAAUCCCUCAGCUUAACUGGGGAACUGCGUCUGAUACUGGGGGGCUUGAGGACAGGAGAGGAACGCGGAAUUCCAGGUGUAGCGGUGAAAUGCGUAGAUAUCUGGAGGAACACCGGUGGCGAAGGCGGCAUCCUGGGCCGUUGCUGACGCUGAGGCGCGACAGCGUGGGGAGCAAACAGG